rnacentral:lncRNA from 1 species
GUUUGCAAGUUUGACUUAUUGCACAAAUUUUAUUGAGUUGAUUGUGGAAAAUUAAAGGUUUGAUUGCAGAUUUUAGUGUUAAAUAUGAUACAUUGAAUCCCCUAUAUUUCUUUGUUGGAUAAAUUGUAAUCAAUUAUAAGUUAUGAAGUAAGGGGUUUCUUUAAGUGGUUAGUUCGAGGAGAUCUCCAUUCCUCCAGAUGUCAAGUUGUUUCUCUGAUCACCCUAAGGUCAUAUGUGCAUUACGUGAUACAAGGUCGUCAUGUUGCUCCAUAUAUAUUUUAUCCGAUAAUAAACAUGUGAAAUUAACAUAAGCAAAAAGAUGAGUGUUUCAUUAAAAACUCGAGAACACUUAUUAUCGUUUUCUCACACUGUAUGUAAUCGACUAUAAAGUAACUUAAACACUAGCCGAUCUAUACAUCAACUAUCUCAUAAUAAUGUAAAUAAGUAGCUUAAGAUUCCAUCUCCUCUUCAAUUGUUUCCAUAUUCGUAUCUAUUGCAUAACAAUGAGUAAAUAUCCACAUGGAAACAUAUGAAGAGAUUAAUCAUAUCCAAGAAAUUGACACCAAUAGAGUGAGAAUAUUAAUGACACAUAAUAUAAACCAUACACAACAUAUAAAAUCAAUCAUCAACAUCAUAUGCAAAAGAAUGAAAGAUGCACCUUAACCAUUUGAUGAUUAAAUUUGGCAAGUGCACGAAACCGUUUUAAAGUAAUUAAGUAGUAAGUAAAAUCGUCCCUACCAGAAUUGUCAUUUCAAUAAGGCAACUAGCUAAUUAUAUUAAAACAAUAAAUAAAAGCAAUAAAAUGGGGGGAGUUAUUAAGUUUGAUUUGAUUGCGAAAAGUGGAGGAGAUUGAUUGCCGAAAAUUAAAGGUUUUGAUUGUAGAUUUUAGUAGCGAUUAGGAUUCACUGAAUCCCCUUUAUUUCCUUGUUUGAUUAAUUAUCAUCAAUUAUCAGUUAUGAGAUAAGAGUUUUUAUUUAAGUUGUUAGUUCAGUGGGAUCUUACGUCCCUCUAGAUGUUAAGUUUCUCCUCAGAUCACCUUAAGAUCAUAUGUGUGGUACAGGAUACCUCAUACUUGGUCGUCAAGCCUAUAUAAACUUGUAUGUUGUCGGAAAGUUAAUUAUGACUUAGUUUUCUUUUCACUUAGUCAAUUUUUCUUCUUUAAUGUUACAUUGUUGUGUGUUUGUUAUUGUACUGUUUUAUUAUGUGGUUUAAUUUGUUUCUAUUUAUUAGGAAUUGCAAUUGUGACUAAGGAUGAGUUUACUUGAAUUAUAUAUUAUCUACUACCUGAAUUGUAUAUUAUCUAUUCCCUCACUAACCAGUGUGUAAUUUAUGUUUAUGUAAUGGUUAUUUUAAAGAAAUAUAGAACUCAUAAUUUACCUUAUGAUAAUCGCUAUACAUAUUUUAAUUUAGAUGAUAUCUUCUUUUGGUGCUUAUUUGAUAACAAGUUAAUCACACUGUCAUUAAAGUAUUUCAUUACUAUUUACUUGAUAUACCAUCUCUGCGUAUUGCUUACUUUGGUCGGAAUAAUAAAAAUUCAUUAUUGAAUACGUUCUUUGUUUGGUAAAAUUAUGAAAGUAUUUUAUGAAGGUAUCAGUCUGAUGCAUUAUAUUUUUCUUUACUAUGGCAUUGUUGUGUGUUUGUUACUGUUGAAGAUUAAUUCAUAUUUCAAUCUUAGUUAAUUAGUUUAGUUAGUUAAAUUGUUAACCCGGUUAUGAUUGAUACACUUUUAGCAAGUAUACUAAAAAUGCAUUGAAGCAAUAAGAUUAUUAAGUUCGUCUCUACAAGGUUUGUUUCAAUCUCAAUGUAGAAAUUUAAUUAUAAUAAGGAUUUAUCAAAUGGGGUAUGCAGAGCAUAUAUUUCAGUUUAACAGAAAAUAAAAUAAAAAUAAUUUGUUUUGGAAAACAUUAGAGAUUAAAGUGACAAGUCUUUUGAAUCAAUUAAUUAUUUUGGUUUGGUAAAUUGCACAUAGUCUCUACAAUUAUUCUCCUAAUUUCAUGACAAAUUACCAAAAAAUGUUUAAUCAAUCCCUUGAAUCAAAUCCAUAUUCUAAAGCAACAAUACUCUAAUCUCGAGUUUGUACCAGCUGAAGGUUUUAUGAACGUUAACUUCUAUGUCAUAACCUAACAAUCAUCUAUCCUGGACUGACGUGUUAGAUUAAACAAUAUACUAUGUCUAAAUCAAGAGAUAGGGCUGGUAGUCAAUUGAUAAUAUAAAUCAUUUCAUAUAUUUGUCAACAUAUGAAUAGCAUUAAGAACAAAUAUACUUAAUAAUACUAGGAUAAUAAUUGUAUUGAGUAUAGCUUAUAAAAUCACAUGAUUCAAACCGCUCAAAUUAAAAUCAUCGUCUUAAACUGUUAUCAUGCAACACCUUCCUUUCUCUUAUUAAGUCAUGUUGUCAUUGAUCAAUAGUAAUACUAGAUAAUGAUACACUACUUUGACUCAAUAAAUCUAGAACUACAAUUUAUUUAAAACUAUUCUGAAUUAAAUAUGAAACUAAUAAAAUUUGAGUGUGAAAACUUCAUUGAAAUUACUCAAAAAAUAUGGUAUGACGGACUGUUAUCAAUUGUUGUGGAUAGUGCUUAGUUAGUUAAUAGCUAACUAUUGUAUAGUCCUAUAGUUAGUGUAAUUGAUGAUAUCACUCAUAUCUCUCACAUUCAAUAAUAAAGUGUUUUUAUCAUUCCUUUGUAGUUUCCUCUCUAAAGUGUGAGUGUGUGGCGAUCAUUCUGAUCUCAAUACAAAACGUUAUGAAGUAUCCAAAAUAUUCUAAUUAAUCUUUCUCUUAAUUUUGUAUGUGCAUGUUUUAUCGGUUACUUUACUGGUUUAUGUUGUUUAAUUUUUUCCUAUUUAUUAGGAAGCACAUGUUACGACUUAUUUGGUGUAUGGUACAAUAGUGGUGUGAAUGCAGUUGUGCGUUUAGUGUGAAGCUCCAAUACGUAGCUUAUUAAAAUUACGGUGAAAUCGGAAAGGAAACGCGAGAUUGGUUAUUUGGACGCGUAACUAAACAUGAUAUUAGUUAUAAAUGAUAUUGCAAUGGAAAAUGAAUGCUUAUACAGUAGUUCAUAUUGUUUUUUUAUUUACAAAGCAUGUGAUUGAAUUUUGAAACCCAUUGUUCGAAAAUGAUUAAUAAAAUAUAGUAUUUGAUUUAGAUUGUCAUUUUGUACAAGACUUUUGAAAGAAAAUUAUUUUUACUCUAACUUUAUAUUAAAGACGACCAUGAAUCCUUUUAGCGAAAGCCUUAUGAGAUGUUUUAAAAUAAUAAAAAAAAGGCAUAUUCGCUAUUUGAAAAACUUGUGUGUUACGGGAUGAAUCAUUUAUGUAUAGUUAAUUGUAUUGAAUCGAUAUUGAAAAUAUUAAAUUAUACUAAAAUUUGUUGAAUUUAUCAUUUAUAUAAUUUAAGUAUUUCAUUGUAUCCUACAAUUAACUAAAGUAUAUUAUUAUGAAAUGAAAAUCAAAGAUAAUCUAAAUAAUAUUUAUUUAGUGCACUAUGUUAAUUUUAAUUACCAUCACCAAAGAGCGCAAAAUCUCUGAAAUUAUUAAAGAAAAACAUAUACAAAACAAAUUAAAUUAUUGAAUGCCGAAUCAUUAGUUAAAUGAAAUGUCAUGUAACAUUUUAUCAUCAACUAUAUUUAUUUGAAUUAUAAUAAGGGUAAAGUUUAGUUUGGACCACCAAAUAUAUUGCUCUAACUUACACCACUUCAAUAUAAGUCAUUGAUAUAUUUUAAAUUUAUUGUAACGGACUGGAUCUCAUGAUGACUACAUUUAGUGUAAGUUGCUACAAUGGGGUAUUUUAGUGGUGUAAAUUGGGGCAAUGAAUUUAGUGGUGCAAAGUAAAUGAACCCUUAUAACCCCUAUAACAAGUACAUUGGGUAUUUCUACAUUCCGGUUUUCGAGGAAGCACACACUUAAUUUUUGUUACACAAUGAGAGUCCUCACUACAUUCAAAAAUUACUGUAAUGAUAAAAGAGAAGAUAAAAAUGUUACUAAUUAAAGGGGAUAAAAGGUUAGGUAAGAAGUAAAUAAUAAAAUUGUAAAAUAAUGAAAAAUGACUUACCAGCAUCAUUCAUUGCAAUGAAAAAUAGUGAAAGAAUGUGGAUUGCAAUAUAAACAAACUUAGUGACUUUAGCC